AGAUAGAGGCGCAGGUUUCAAGAGUAUUUCCGGAUUGUUGUGAUAAAUGACAGGUUUUUGGAGGGCCUUCCGGUAAAGAAAGGGAAAACUGCCGAAGAGACUGCAUCAGCCAAAGGAUGGAGCUUCUGGGACACCGCAGAAUAUGCGGUGUACUGUCACUUUUGUGGAGCGCUAUCU
rnacentral:ncRNA from 1 species